CGCCUAGGCUGCGGGUCAGACGAGUAUCCCUCCGGGCUUUAUGCCGGUUAUGACCGGGUCAAGGGGUAUCAUUCAAACCGGACGCGUGGGGUAAUUCCUCUGAAUCCUCACUAAGACGCAGGGGAUAAGCUUCGGGUAGCCCGCCUUCCGGCAGCCCGUCGCCGACAAUCAAAGGACGGAUAAGCGUGUAGAAAGCUCUCUUGUGCGUUGUUUGGACGGCGGUUCGAGCCCGCCCAUCUCCACGA
rnacentral:tmRNA from 1 species